GUUAUCGUAGCUUACUUCUAAAGCCUAGCCCUGAAAAUGCUAAGAUGGGCCCUAACGGCUCCGCCAAC
rnacentral:tRNA from 1 species